rnacentral:rRNA from 1 species
UACGAAGGGGGCUAGCGUUGCUCGGAAUCACUGGGCGUAAAGGGUGCGUAGGCGGGUCUUUAAGUCAGGGGUGAAAUCCUGGAGCUCAACUCCAGAACUGCCUUUGAUACUGAAGAUCUUGAGUUCGGGAGAGGUGAGUGGAACUGCGAGUGUAGAGGUGAAAUUCGUAGAUAUUCGCGAGAACACCAGUGGCGAAGGCGGCUCACUGGCCCGAUACUGGCGCUGAGGCACGAAAGCGUGGGGAGCAAACAGG